AGGAAGAGUAAUUACCGAGAUGGAGCCCAGUCAUCGUAGCAAUUGUCUGAAGUUAGUUAUUGGGUCUUGGGACCCCUACGUAACUGUGACCAACUACACCCCACCGUAUGAAAUUGCCGGAGUAGCUGUCAUAAUUCUGCGAAUCAUCAUGAAGAAAUUGGGAUACUGCUAUUACCUGGCAAGGGCUCCGGACAACGACUGGGGGUAUCCGCUGCCAAAUGGGUCCUGGACGGGCACAAUCGGGAUGCUACGCCGGAAGGUAG